ensembl:lncRNA
AACAAAUUGACAACAAAAUAACAAGUCUGCAACAAAUUAACAAGUGGCUCUUGACGGAAAGGGAUUGUCUGAAAUACCGGAAGUAACUCAACAAUGUUUCUGGCCCAAACAAAGCGCUAGCGGAAGAGGAGCGAAAGCACACGGAUAACACCAGCUAUGUGCGGUCGGUUGUAAUGUUAGAUCGCACGACCGGCAAGGGAAUAAGCUUGAAAUGGUUUAUCUUUUCAUUCUUUCCCCACCUGGAAGCAACAUGAGGCAGCUCAUGUAUCAGAUGUUACCAAAAGAAGACGUCUAGUCUGGAUAGCAGCUGUGAGACGAGCUGAUAUCCAGCUCUCUUCCAUCUCCAAAUAUCUGUUGGUGCUCCAGACAUUUUCAUUCCGGCAAACCAGCCUAUGAAAUGGAUGAAACACAUCGUGACUGGGUUCCAGCGCUACACAUGGGGCACUCCGAAAUCCCUGCUUCAAACAUACCGCCAUGCCAAUCAGAUUACUUCUUCCAUGUGAGGGUGAAGAUGUGACCCUUCUGGAUAAGAUGGUGAAGCAAGGGCGUAGAUUUGGCAUGGACGGAAGGGACAUGUCCCCACCAAUAAUUUGAUCUCUUCGAGUAAAGAAAAACAAACCCGAUAGAAAGAGGAAAAAAAAAAAACGAUCUUUCAACGUCUCAUUCACCCAGCGGUGCAGAAAGAUUUAAAUUACGUUCGCUACUGGAGUCCUACCUCAUGUGACAAAUAUGGCCAAUGUGAUUGGCUGUGCCUUUCGGGGAGCUCUGUUUAGUUUUAGCAGCGGCAAGCCUGCGCUGCGAGGACCUGCAAGGAGGAGAGGAGGAUGGCAGCAAAAAGGAAGAACCUGGAUAUAAGAAAGUAUUUUUCAAAGAAACCUGUAAGUCACUUAAAGUUAAGCUCACUCAUAAAAUGUGUCCGUCAUAAUAACGUUACAGGCUAUGCUAGGCUUUGGCCCACAUGAGUCUAAAAUUGUAUGUAACCAUGAAUAACGUGUUUUGGAAACUAACUGCACAACACGCAGCACUAUUAGUUAUCUCAGUCUCCCAGAGUAGCAUUUCUAAUUUUGAUUGAAAGUGUCAGAGAAAAUGGCAGCCUCGAGCAAGCCAGGAUAUUAGUUUACAGAGGCUGUUAAAAUUAUAUGUCUAACGUUAAAAUGUUGGUGACACAAUAAUUUCAUCCUAAUGGUACUGACAUAUUCAUAGGGUUGAUUUUUGAGACAAUAUAUCAUGAGGUAGUCAUGAUUUUGCAAAUAUUCCACCUUGUAGUGCAGUUUGCACAAAUUGUUUUAAAAAUGCACUCACCCUACAAACAUUACUGAUGAGUCAAGAUCUGCACAAAUUGACAGAAACACUGAAGCAGCUAUUUUAUUCUUAUUGUCAUGUAUGUGCUAUUUGUCAGGUGACAGAAGAACCAACACAAAGCUCAGAGAGCAAUGGCGAUACAAGAUCACAGGUGAAAUUGGAUGAUGACUUGGUGGUUCAUUACUGUAUUUGAAGCACAUGUGUGACUGCAUGUAUUUGGAAUGUCUCACUGUUAUUUAUCAGGUGACAGAGGCAGCUCUGCCAUGUUGUAGCUCAGACAGAGGUGAAGAGGCAAGGUCACAGGUGACUGACUGAUGAUUUGGUGCUAUAGAUUAACUAGUAUUUAUUAUCAUGACAAUUGUUAGGCUGCUGAUGUAAAUUGAUUCAUUAGUGUACAUUUGACAAAGAAUCUGAAUCGACAAGUCUCACUUUUUAUAUGGCACGAAUCAAUGUGUUAUUUUAUCAGGUGGCAAUAUGUCCUAGUGCAGUCAGAGGGGAAGAGCCAGGGCCAAAGGUGAGGCACAUCAAGCACAUAAUAAUAAUUUUGUGGUAAUCUUAGAUGAGUAGUUUUAUGGACAAAAACCACCAGGUCAUUCAGUGUUCCCUUAGUGCUAAUGUAUAAGAGAUGUUGGUGUACUAUAACUGAAGUAAUGUUCUUAAGUCCUUAAAGUCAUAUUCUUUUAUUGUCAUGACUGUAUUUGAGGCUGUUUUUAUUUUUGUACGAUACCUGAUUUAUAUGGAAUAUGGCUGAAGUAAACUAAAGUCUAAAAUACUUAGUCAUUUGUUUAAUAGUAAUUUAACAUUAUAUAAUUCACAUAUAAAACUAUGAAUUGUAAUUUUAAAAGGUUUAAAAGCAUGUAGAAUAGCAUAUGUAGACAAGUAUAUUUCUCCUUCUUUUUAUCAAGAAGCAAAGACAAAAAGGGGGGGGGGGGGGGGGACAGGGCAGGGUUCGGUGGUUGAAUCAUCCGUCCCCACCAAUGCCAAAACCAAAUCUACGCCCUUGUGGUGAAGGUUUGCUGCGUUUUGGUGAACAGUGUGGUAGUAAAACCAGGGAAAAAUGAAACUUCCAUCCAUCCAUCCAUUCGCUUCUGCUUAUCCUUUUCAGGGUUGCGGGGGGCGCUGGAGCCUAUCCCAGCUGUCAUAGGGCGAGAGGCGGGGUACGCCCUGGACAGGUCGCCAGUCUGUCGCAGGGCUGAAAAAUGAAACUUGCGCCUGUUAAAUAUUCUUAAGUCUUGCGCUGUAUAAAUAGCGGUAAUUUUUCAAAAGAUACAGUAAAUAAUGUUAGUAGUUGGUGAUAUCAUGUAAACGCUGUCAUGAUUUUGUGUAAACAUUUUGUCAUUUGUAAACUAUAAAUGACAUUGAUUCUACAUUGUAACUGAUGUGAUGUUCUAUAAAGUGGUUUUAAUAAAAAACAAAAGGCAAA